UGCCAACAAGACUGGUUCUUUCGGAA
rnacentral:piRNA from 1 species